rnacentral:misc_RNA from 1 species
UUUCCGUAGGUGAACCUGCGGAAGGAUCAUUAAAAGUAAUCAGUACUCUGUACUAAUUAUAAACCCAUCUGUGUAUCUUACCUGUUGCUUCCGUGGGGUGCGGUGGCUCCGGCCGCCGCUUGACCCACGGGAGGUCUACACCAAACCAUUGCAUUGCCAUGAUCUCAGUCUGAAAUGAAAACAACAAAAGUUAAAACUUUCAACAACGGAUCUCUUGGUUCUC